UAGGGAAUAUUGGACAAUGGGGGGAACCCUGAUCCAGCCAUGCCGCGUGGAGGAAGACUGCCCUCUGGGUUGUAAACUCCUUUUAUAUGGGAAGAACCGUCCUCAUUGAUGAGUGACCUGACGGUACCAUAGGAAUAAGCACCGGCUAACUCCGUGCCAGCAGCCGCGGUAAUACGGAGGGUGCAAGCGUUAUCCGGAUUCACUGGGUUUAAAGGGUGCGUAGGCGGAUAUGUAAGUCAGUGGUGAAAUCAACGGGCUCAACCUGUUAACUGCCAUUGAUACUGUGUAUCUUGAAUAUGAGAGAGGUAGGCGGAAUGUUGAAUGUAGCGGUGAAAUGCUUAGAUAUGCUACGGAACACCGAUUGCGAAGGCAGCUUACUAUUUCGUAAUUGACGCUGAGGCACGAAAGCGUGGGUAGCGAAC
rnacentral:rRNA from 1 species